GACGGGAGAGCACAGCAACGGGAGGAGCGUGCGGUUCAAUUGGAUUCAACGCCGUAAACUCACCGGGAGCGACGAUUACAUGAAGGUCAGGCCGACGACUUUACCUGAUUUUUCGAGAGGUGGUGCAUGGCCGUCGUCAGUUCGUACUGUGAAGCAUCCUGUUAAGUCAGGCAACGAGCGAGACCCACGCCCACAGUUGCCAGCGUACUCUCUGGAGUGACGGGUACACUGUGGGGACCGCCGCUGCUAAAGCGGAGGAAGGAAUGGGCAACGGUAGGUCAGUAUGCCCCGAAUAUCCCGGGCUACACGCGAGCUACAAUGGUUGGUACAAUGGGUAUCUACCCCGAAAGGGGACGGGAAUCUCCUAAAACCAAUCUUAGUUCGGAUUGAGGGCUGCAACUCGCCCUCAUGAAGCUGGAAUCCGUAGUAAUCGCGUUUCAACAGAACGCGGUGAAUACGUCCCUGCUCCUU
rnacentral:rRNA from 1 species